UCUGGUUGAUCCUGCCAGUAGUCAUAUGCUUGUCUCAAAGAUUAAGCCAUGCAUGCCUAAGUAUAAGUAGUAUACAGCGAAACUGCGAAUGGCUCAUUAAAACAGUUAUAGUUUAUUUGAUAAUGGAAAGCUACAUGGAUAACCGUGGUGAUUCUAGAGCUAAUACAUGCUGUAAGACCCGACUUCUGGAAGGGUUGUAUUUAUUAGAUAUCAAGCCAAUACCUUCGGGUGUUGAGAUGAGUCAUAGUAACUGAUCGAAGCUCACAGUUGAGCUGCGUCAUUCAAGUUUCUGCCCUAUCAGCUUUCGAUGGUAGUGUAUUGGACUACCAUGGCAGUCACGGGUAACGGAGAAUUAGGGUUCGAUUCCGGAGAGGGAGCCUGAGAAACGGCUACCACAUCUAAGGAAGGCAGCAGGCGCGUAAAUUACCCAAUCCUGAUUCAGGGAGGUAGUGACAAGAAAUAACAACUCGGGGAACAUCUGUUCUUACGGGAUUGCAAUGAGGACGAUUCAAAGAACCUAUCGAGGAACAAUUGGAGGGCAAGUCUGGU
rnacentral:rRNA from 1 species